rnacentral:rRNA from 1 species
GACGAACGCUGGCGGCGUGCUUAACACAUGCAAGUCGAACGGAAAGGCCCUGCUUUUGUGGGGUGCUCGAGUGGCGAACGGGUGAGUAACACGUGAGUAACCUGCCCUUGACUUUGGGAUAACUUCAGGAAACUGGGGCUAAUACCGGAUAGGAGCUCCUGCUGCAUGGUGGGGGUUGGAAAGUUUCGGCGGUUGGGGAUGGACUCGCGGCUUAUCAGCUUGUUGGUGGGGUAGUGGCUUACCAAGGCUUUGACGGGUAGCCGGCCUGAGAGGGUGACCGGCCACAUUGGGACUGAGAUACGGCCCAGACUCCUACGGGAGGCAGCAGUGGGGAAUAUUGCACAAUGGGCGGAAGCCUGAUGCAGCAACGCCGCGUGCGGGAUGACGGCCUUCGGGUUGUAAACCGCUUUCGCCUGUGACGAAGCGUGAGUGACGGUAAUGGGUAAAGAAGCACCGGCUAACUACGUGCCAGCAGCCGCGGUGAAACGUAGGGUGCGAGCGUUGUCCGGAUUUAUUGGGCGUAAAGGGCUCGUAGGUGGUUGAUCGCGUCGGAAGUGUAAUCUUGGGGCUUAACCCUGAGCGUGCUUUCGAUACGGGUUGACUUGAGGAAGGUAGGGGAGAAUGGAAUUCCUGGUGGAGCGGUGGAAUGCGCAGGUAUCAGGAGGAACACCAGUGGCGAAGGCGGUUCUCUGGGCCUUUCCUGACGCUGAGGAGCGAAAGCGUGGGGAGCGAACAGGCUUAGAUACCCUGGUAGUCCACGCUGUAAACGGUGGGUACUAGGUGUGGGGUCCAUUCCACGGGUUCCGUGCCGUAGCUAACGCUUUAAGUACCCCGCCUGGGGAGUACGGCCGCAAGGCUAAAACUCAAAGGAAUUGACGGGGCCCCGCACAAGCGGCGGAGCAUGCGGAUUAAUUCGAUGCAACGCGUAGAACCUUACCUGGGUUUGACAUGGAUCGGGAGUGCUCAGAGAUGGGUGUGCCUCUUUUGGGGUCGGUUCACAGGUGGUGCAUGCCUGUCGUCAGCUCGUGUCGUGAGAUGUUGGGUUAAGUCCCGCAACGAGCGCAACCCUUGUUCACUGUUGCCAGCACGUUAUGGUGGGGACUCAGUGGAGACCGCCGGGGUCAACUCGGAGGAAGGUGGGGAUGACGUCAAGUCAUCAUGCCCCUUAUGUCCAGGGCUUCACGCAUGCUACAAUGGCUGGUACAGAGAGUGGCGAGCCUGUGAGGGUGAGCGAAUCUCGGAAAGCCGGUCUCAGUUCGGAUUGGGGUCUGCAACUCGACCUCAUGAAGUCGGAGUCGCUAGUAAUCGCAGAUCAGCAACGCUGCGGUGAAUACGUUCCCGGGGCU